UGAGGAAUAUUGGUCAAUGGGCGAGAGCCUGAACCAGCCAAGUAGCGUGCAGGAUGACGGCCCUAUGGGUUGUAAACUGCUUUUAUGCGGGGAUAAAGUGGGCCACGUGUGGCCUUUUGCAGGUACCGCAUGAAUAAGGACCGGCUAAUUCCGUG
rnacentral:rRNA from 1 species